CAAAAGUCACAAAAAUAGCAUUCAAGGGGUGGGGUUUAGGGUUUAGAAUUUAGGGUUUAGGGUUUAGAGUUUAGGUUUUAGGGUUUAGAGUUGAGAAGUGAGGUUAUGGGGAUUAGAUUUCAAAUUUUAAAAAAUAAAAAAAUUUAAAUUUUUCAAAAGAUAAAAUGCUAUUUUGGUCGUUUUAGUUUUUGAGUGCUAUUAUUGUGAUAUAAACUUAGAAAGGUGCUAUUUUGGAGAUUUGCCCAUUAAACAAUCAUAAUCAUAUAUGAAUUUACAAAACUUAUUUCGAGUUAUACAGCUUUACAACAUUUUUAGUGGCUGUAUGUCACUACGAAAAAGGGUUAAACUCAUUCAGUGGUUUAGUUGAAAAAUAGUUGUAUUUAAUAAAGUAGCUAGU
rnacentral:lncRNA from 1 species